rnacentral:rRNA from 1 species
GACGAACGCCGGCGGCGUGCUUAACACAUGCAAGUCGAACGAUGAAGCCGGAGCUUGCUCUGGUGAAUUAGUGGCGAACGGGUGAGUAACACGUGGGUAACCUGCCCAUAAGACUGGGAUAACUCCGGGAAACCGGGGCUAAUACCGGAUAAUAUUUUGAACUGCAUGGUUCAAAAUUGAAAGGCGGCUUCGGCUGUCACUUAUGGAUGGACCCGCGUCGCAUUAGCUAGUUGGUGAGGUAACGGCUCACCAAGGCAACGAUGCGUAGCCGACCUGAGAGGGUGAUCGGCCACACUGGGACUGAGCCACGGCCCAGACUCCUACGGGAGGCAGCAGUAGGGAAUCUUCCGCAAUGGACGAAAGUCUGACGGAGCAACGCCGCGUGAGUGAUGAAGGCUUUCGGGUCGUAAAACUCUGUUGUUAGGGAAGAACAAGUGCUAGUUGAAUAAGCUGGCACCUUGACGGUACCUAACCAGAAAGCCACGGCUAACUACGUGCCAGCAGCCGCCGUAA